AAAUUUUAAUAAAAAAAAUUCAACCGACUUCCAACUCAAAAAUUAACCUAAACUAAAAAGCAAAAAAUAACAUCUUACCUAUGUGCUACCUUCUGAUCAGUUUGAAGGCGGUGCCAAGCCAGUGAUGUUUUAAUUCAAGCCGUUUAUAUAACACAAUUUCUGUGGUUCUUUCAGAAACGGCUUUAAUUAAAACAUGACACUGGAUUGGCACCGCCUUCAAACUGAUCAGAAGGUAGCACAUAGGUAAGAUGUUAUUUUUUGCUUUUUAGUUUAGGUUAAUUUUUGAGUUGGAAGUCGGUUGAAUUUUUUUUAUUAAAAUUUUUAUUUUUUAAUUUUUAGUGUUAGCAGACCUAACUGAGUGUGAACAAAAAUUAAUGAGCAAUUAGUUGAAACGUUAUUUUCGUAUGAUAAGUAUGUAAGGCCUACAAUCCCAAUUUAAAUAUAAAGACUACCUUAACUCAUAUACAAAAUUUCACUCCCCCCUUAUCCACACGUAAUAUGAAUAUUCAGAAAAACGUGAAAGGUGACUGUCCUCCGUCUUCAUCACCAGACCCCUAUGCAGUCACAAUCUAUAUGGGUGGAAAGUUCUCAUCAAUAUAAAAUUUAUCAAGUCCAAACACAAGGUAGCUACUGUGAACCGUCGAGGAGUUCCCUUAACUAUCCUUCAUCUUCAUCACCAAACCUCUAAUACAGUCACAACCUAUCCAGGUGGAAAGUUCUCAUCAAUACAAAUUUAUCAAGUCCAAACACAAGGUAGCUACUGUGAACCGUCGAGGAGUUCUCUUCACUGUCCUUCGUCUUCAUCAUCAGACCCUUAAUACAGUCACAACCAUCUAGGUGGAAAGUUCUCAUCAAUACAAAUAAAUCAAGCCCAAACAAAAGGUACCUGCUGUAAAUCGUUGACGAGUUCCAUCGUCUGUGUAUCGGCUCCAUCAUCAGACCAAC